UACAGAGGUCUCAAGCGUUGUUCGGAUUCAUUGGGCGUAAAGGGUGCGUAGGCGGCGCGGUAAGUCGGGUGUGAAAUCUUGGAGCUUAACUCCGAAACUUCAUUCGAUACUGCCGUGCUUGAGGACUGGAAAGGAGACUGGAAUUUACGGUGUAGCGGUGAAAUGCGUAGAUAUCGUAAGGAAGACCAGUGGCGAAGGCGGGUCUCUGGACAGUUCCUGACGCUGAGGCACGAAGGUCAGGGGAGCAAACGGG
rnacentral:rRNA from 1 species